rnacentral:tRNA from 1 species
GGAUGAAUAGCUCAGCGGCAGAGCAACGGUUUGUUAAACCGAUGGUCGAAAGUUCGAAUCUUUCUUCAUCCG